rnacentral:lncRNA from 1 species
CGGCCAUAUUGGUCGUUCCCACCGAGCGUGAUAAUUUGUAUAUUUUGUAUUGCGGAAAUGGACAAAGUUGACAAUAAAUCCUCUUUUAUGCAGUCAAUUUUGGUUUUUCAAGUGUGCAACUUGUUGUAAAUGAUGCCAGAUCGUUGGAGAUUCAUAUUGUGAAUAAUGGGUAGGCAGAAUUUAAUUAUUUUUUUCGAAAAUAUCAAUAUUUGUCGACCCGUAUGAAGGGCGCCCAUAGGACAAACCCUAUGGACAAACCAUCAUUGUUGAUGUACAUAUAAAUAUAGUUCCACCAAUUCCAAAUAAAACAUUUUGAGCUAUCGUCAUUGCUUCAUGGCAAAAUUGUGAAUGUAUUUGCAUAUUCUUUUGUAAAAGACAGCGACACUGAAAAACAUAUUUUAGUCACAGUUUAUCAAUGGGCUAUUCCAUUUAAUAUCCGUACCCCCCCUGUCGAGGAUCCCUGGAAUUCUUCAGGGGUCUUUGGUUUUGAGCUUGGAAUUCUUCAGGGGUAAAGUGUUUUGAGUUUGGAAUUCUUCAGGGGUAAAGUGUUUUGAGUUUGGAAUUCUUCAGGGGUAAAUGGUUUUGAGCUUGGAAUUCUUCAGGGGUAAAGGGUUUUGAGCUUGGAAUUCUUCAGGGGUAAAGAGGUUUGAGAUUGAAAUUUUUCAGAGCUUGGAAUUCUUCAGGGGUGAAGGGUUUUGAGCUUGGAAUUCUUCAGUGGUAAAAGAGGUUUGAGAUUGAAAUUUUUCAGAGCUUGGAAUUCUUCAGGGGUAAAAGGUUUUGAGCUUGAAAUUCUUCAGGGGUAAAGGGCUUUGAGCCUGGAAUUCUUUAGGGGUGAAGGGUUUUGAGCUUGGAAUUCUUCAGGGGUAAAAGGUUUUGAGCUUGGAAUUCUUCAGGGGUAAAGGGUUUUGAGCUUGGAAUUUUGGAAUUCUUUAGGGGUAAAAGGUUUUGAGCUUGGAAUUCUUCAGGGGUAAAGAGUUUUGAGCUUGGAAUUUUGGAAUUCUUCAGGGGUAAACAGUUUUGAGCUUGGAAUUCUUCAGGGGUAUGACAAUGAAAAACAUGUAUCCUCGACAGGGGGGGUACGGAUAUUAAAUGGAAUAGCCCAAUGGCAAAAAUAGACUUAAAAUCUUAGAUAUAGUCGAUAUAUAAAAAACAUUGACACCAAAAAUGGUUCUUACUCCUUACUAUUUGUAUAUUUAUUACAUACAUACAACAUAUCAUAUAUUAUUUUAUAGUUCCAUGGAAUCACAUCAAGAUUAAAAUGUAUUAGAAGCUAGAGAAGAAUAAUUGCAACUUUUUUAUAUAUUCGCAGGCAAAAUAACAUAAUUGCUAUUGCUUUAUGUAAAUGUAGUUGAUAAUCAAACUUUCUAAAACCUUCAAUUGUAUGAAUGCUUCAAACUAUCUUUAAUAUUUGAUGUUAAGACAUAUUUCUUUCUGUUGAGUCCUAGACCUUUUGUUUUUAAUUCAAGCAAUCAAACUGCCAAAUUACUGUAAUUAUUAACAGCAUAGGUCAUUGAUAAUCAGUUGAAUUUUAGAACUGCUUUGGGAAACCCUAUUUUGUAAUGAGACACAUUACUUCUUGCAUUAUUGUAUAUUGUAAGGUCAAUGGGAUAAACUGCUUGAUGCACAGUAGAUUUUAUAAUCUUAAAUAUAGUUGCACUCAC